rnacentral:sRNA from 1 species
GGGAUACGCAACGAAGCAUGUUGUUGAAGGUCUGGAACCAAGGACGCUGUACAGAUUUCGCCUGAAGGUCACCAGCCCCUCUGGGGAGUGUGAGUACAGUCCACUCGUCUCAGUGUCUACGACCAGAGAGCCCAUAAGUAGUGAACACUUGCAUCAGGCUGUCAGUGUGAAUGAUGAAGAUUUGCUGGUCCGAAUACUUCAAGGAGGCCAUGUUAAGGUUGAUGUUCCCAAUAAGUUUGGCUUUACCGCUCUGAUGGUUGCUGCCCAGAAAGGAUACACCAGGCUUGUGAAAAUCCUAGUUUCUAAUGGCACAGACGUGAAUCUGAAGAAUGGAAGUGGCAAGGACAGUCUAAUGCUGGCGUGCUAUGCGGGACACCUAGAUGUUGUGAAAUAUCUCCGAAGACACGGCGCUUCUUGGCAGGCUAGAGACCUGGGAGGCUGUACAGCUCUGCACUGGGCUGCAGAUGGAGGCCACUGCAGUGUGAUUGAGUGGAUGAUAAAGGAUGGCUGUGAGGUAGACGUCGUGGACACUGGUUCAGGAUGGACCCCACUCAUGAGAGUCUCCGCGGUGUCGGGAAGUCAGAGGGUGGCCUCUCUUCUGAUUGAUGCUGGGGCCAAUGUGAAUGUGAAGGACAGAAAUGGAAAGACGCCCCUUAUGGUGGCUGUGUUAAAUAAUCAUGAAGAGUUAGUUCAGUUACUUCUUGACAAAGGGGCAGAUGCAAGUGUAAAAAAUGAGUUCGGCAAAGGUGUCCUAGAAAUGGCCAGAGUUUUUGACAGACAGGUUGGGAUGCUCUUUCUGCCUAUCAAGGCUAAUUUUAUAGUCCUUCUAGACUCAGAAAAACCACCAAAACCCUGGAUUACAUACCUGUCUGUUUUGUUUGUCUAGAGUGUAGUCUCCUUACUAGAAGAAAGGAAAAAAAAGCAGAGGCCAAAGAAGUCUUGUGUCUGCUGAUGAGAGCACCGCUCAUCUGUGAAACCCACGUAAAACAAAGUGAACCGUGACUGUUAAACUAGGGAUGGGAAAUUCUGCAUCUUGGGGGGCUGUACAUUUAUUUAUUUAGUUGAAGAUUCACUGAUCCCACUUUGAAAUACAUCUUUUUACCUAA